rnacentral:lncRNA from 1 species
AAAAAUAAUUGAGGGAUUUUUGAGUCUUGGACUGCAAAUCCCAAGGUCACCUGUUUUCUACUGCUGCUAAUUUAAUACUGCGAAUUCAGAGAACUCAUUUACUCCUCAUAUGAAAUUCAUUUAUUGUAAGUGUGGGAGUCAGUCCUCAAAUUAAUUGUUUUUUCAAGAAAGAACAAUAAUUACGCCAGUGAGAAAUGGAGAAUCAGAGACCCGAUCGAGGCUAUAGACUCCAGAGAUCGUUGGCGCUCCAGCAUACUAAUCUAAAAAGUCUUCACUUUCUUAUCCAAUCCCUACGCUAGACGCCGUUGCCGCGCAGCAACUUCACAAUGCAUAUCUUGUUUCAAACUUUAC